rnacentral:rRNA from 12 species
ACGGUCCUAAGGUAGCGAAUUUCCUUGUCGGGUAAGUUCCGACCUGCACGAAUGGUGUAACGAUGGGGGCGCUGUCUCCACCCGAGACUCAGUGAAAUUGAAAUCGCUGUUAAGAUGCAGUGUAUCCGCGGCUAGACGGAAAGACCCCGUGAACCUUUACUAUAGCUUCACACUGGACUUUGAUGAUAUUUGUGUAGGAUAGGUGGGAGGCUUUGAAGCGCAGACGCUAGUUUGCGUGGAGCCAACCUUGAAAUACCACCCUGAUAUCCUUGAGGUUCUAACGCAGGCCCCGAAACGGGGUUGCGGACCGUGUGUGGUGGGUAGUUUGACUGGGGCGGUCUCCUCCCAAAGAGUAACGGAGGAGUACGAAGGUGCGCUAAGCAUGGUCGGAAAUCAUGCGGUUAGUAUAAUGGCAAAAGCGCGCUUGACUGCGAGACGGACAGGUCGAGCAGGUACGAAAGUAGGUCAUAGUGAUCCGGUGGUUCUGUAUGGAAGGGCCAUCGCUCAACGGAUAAAAGGUACUCCGGGGAUAACAGGCUGAUACCGCCCAAGAGUUCACAUCGACGGCGGUGUUUGGCACCUCGAUGUCGGCUC